rnacentral:rRNA from 1 species
CGUGUAGGCGGAUAUACAUGUCAGAUGUGAAAUCCCUUGACUCAACUGAGGAAGUGCAUCUGAAACUGCAUAUCUUGAGUACGAUAGAGGAGAGUGGAAUUCCCAGUGUAGAGGUGAAAUUCAUAGAUAUUGGGAAGAACACCGGUGGCGAAGGCGGCUCUCUGGAUCGAUACUGACGCUGAUACGCGAAAGCGUGGGAGCAAACA